rnacentral:rRNA from 1 species
CACGUAGGGUGCGAGCGUUGUCCGGAAUUAUUGGGCGUAAAGAGCUCGUAGGCGGUGUGUCGCGUCGGCCGUGAAAACCUGCAGCUUAACUGUGGGCUUGCGGUCGAUACGGGCAUCACUGGAGUUCGGCAGGGGAGACUGGAAUUCCUGGUGUAGCGGUGAAAUGCGCAGAUAUCGAGGAGGAACACCGGUGGGCGAAGGCG